CUUUGAGACCGAUUUAAAGAGCAAAGUCGCCGCCGCAGCGCCCGGUCCCUCCCUCUGCGCGGGAGCGGGGCCCCCUCCCCCCUCCCCGCCCGCGGGGUUGUGCGCAGCCAGCCGGGGGGCAGCACGGCCGGUACCUGCCUGCGGAGCGGGAGGCGGCGGCGCGGCGGCCGCCCGCCUGGGGCGGGACGGGGCCGGGCCAGGCGCUUCUGCCCGCUGCCGGCCGCGGUAGCUACGGGCACAAACGGCCGCUGGAUUGGUGUUUUUGUCUUUUAUUCUCCCACACAGCUUCAGCUGGUUUUAUUCUUUCAGUAAAAAUCUUCCAAAGGUUCAAGACUAGAUUAGAACAUCUGUGAAGCCGGCAAAAAGGAAGAGGUGAAUCGUUUUAGGAAGUCUCAUCUCUGAGAACUACAUGCCUCCACCUUCCCAGGCGUCGGUGUUGUGAACACAUACCUGGCAAGGCCUGCAGAAAGCAUGCUGCGUAUAGAGCACCCUCACUGCGCACAGUAACAGUUUACGAACCCUAACUCAUGCUGCCCUUGUUUAACACCACUUGCUGCACGAUACAGCAUUGCUGGCACGUGCAGGCUCCAGCUCCUGAAGACGCAGAAGGCUAACUGAAUGGGGACAGUUGAGAGAGGAAGGUGGUUUAUCACACCCUAAAAAGCAAUCUGUAUGUGCUGGGCUUGGAGGCUUCAGUUUUAUUUUUACACUGAGUUUAGCAGAACUAACAGCAGGCAUAAUUUUGUUUCCACAAUCAGGACAGUGGAGAAAGGGAGGAACAGACCUUAAGCAUAAAAAAUCAGCUCUGACAAAGGGACUGGUAUCAAGGAUUGUUUUACAUUAAACAUAAGAUAACAUAUUUUCUAUGGCAAUAUGGAAAUUUCUACCAACUAAUGGGUAAACUUUAGUUAGCAAAUUAUUUAAACUUUUUCAUUUAUUUGGCUUGUAUUUUUUUGUACAACCAAUUUUGGGGCCUGCUAGAAAUAGGAAUGCGGUAAUUUUUCUCUAUAUACCUGCCACAAUUUUAAAGGACACCGCUGAUUUCAAUCCUUAAAAAUAAUGAAAACAUAAAGGAGUUAAAAGUAGCUUAUAUACCUACUUGUUUAUCAAAUUCAUGGUUUAAUAAAAACAUUUCUUGAUAGAAUUCGUCACAAAAAAAGCAUUUAAAAGGUGUUCAUUUAAAAAUGUGUUUAAUUUAAAAAUGCAUUUUAUAUAUGUAGCUUUCUGUCUCUUGUGCUUUACUGAAAGUCCCACAGAUUGAUUCCCUUACUGGUUGUCUGAGGAAAAAUAUGAUUCGUUUGCCGAACAUACAACUUCUAUAUUAGAAGAAAUAAACACUACAAGAAAUCCUGCUGACAAUGACUAGUUUCCCUUGUGGCUUCAAAUCAUGCCAUUUUAGACUUACGCACAACUUCUAGGGAAGUCUAGUGUUUUUGUACAGGGAAUUAAGGUAAUUUGGAUGACUUACAUGUAUGAAGUAACUCAAAUUCAUUUCUGUUGAUGACUGGGCCCUUACUUGGCUAUGCACCUUUAACUCAGUUUCACAGUUCAGCUCUGCAUAUUCAAUUCAGUAUUAAUCCUGUGUGUGAAAUUCAUGGAAUAUCAUAUUCCUUGAUGUAAGUAAAAGGCAAGGCAGCAAGAUUUAAGGGAAAGAAGCAGUUUGAAAUUCAAAAAAGUUUUCAAAUAUUUCACUCUAAGUGAAUAGUGCUUUCCAAAACAAACACAUCAUAUAUCAUGACCAGCUGCUAUAUAGUAGGGCCCCAUAUUUGCCAAAAUGAAUUCAAUUUUUUGUCCUAUCUCAUGUAAUUUAUACUUUAAUAAACCUUUUGCAUAAAUCAGAAAUGAUUUUGCACCAUGUAUUCUACCAGGAAGCCUUAGACAUACCAUUAAACAAACAAACAAAAGACAAAUAGCUGUUAUUUUAACUACAAAAACAAGAAAGACAUAGUUUCCUUUUACUACAUUAUUGUCUUCUAGACACACAGGCAUUUUUCCUAAACUGGAAGUAUUGAAUAUGUCAUUGCACAGCAAUCCAUAGGUAUUCUGAGCCACCUAAUGUUCUUGUUCACUACUCUGGGAUUGUGUAACCAACAUUGUUGUGACGUCCUAUACUUUACUGUUCAAACUAUGACUUACUUCUCUCAAUAUUUUCUUUAUUACUUGAUCAUUCUUAUAAAAGCACAGUCUAGUUUGUAUUGCUAUAAAUAGCUAUAUUUAUGUAUCUAUGCAUCUAAUACAUCUAAAUGCAUGUAGGUAAAUACACAUACACAUUUUUUUUAAACUUCAAGCAAUAAAGAGGCGGGUUGUCUGUGGUUUACAAAAAAAACACUCUAGGCCAAAUUUACAUAUACAAAUAAGAUAAAGUUAUAUGUUCAAACAGAGAUGUAAGGGAUCUAUUGAUGUAAUUUGUAUUAUCAGGUUCUGAAGAAAGGAAUAUUCAGAUAAGCAUGUUGCUCUACCUUAAUUUAAUUUAUAUCUUCCUUACCUUUCCCUUUUUUGUGUAUUUUCUUUCCAGAAGAUUUAUUUAUAAAACCAUAUUCCUCAGUGUUGUGUCAUUAUAGGCCUCAAGGAGCUUUUUCUAAAACUGUGAUGGUUAGCUGGGAAGUUGUGGUCAAAUAUCAGCUGGGAGAACUUCACUCUGUUUAGCCUAGAGUUACCUUGAAAUUUCCAUUGGAUAAGUAAUUCAUCACAUGUUGUUCUAAGUUGUCAUAAAUAGCAUAGCAUACAGCAUUGUAUGAUACCUGAUGCAGUUAUAACCAGAAGUGGCCAUGAAAGCUUGGGUUGCAAAUCAGUGAAUUGUCACUCUUCUGAAUAACAGGUGACAGAAAAAUCUAUUUCAAAAGAUAUAUUUUGGCCUCAGCUCUGAAAAACACCUUGGGAAAAGGAAAAUUAUAAUUAUUGGUAAUAAAAAUAUUGAUUAAAAUAA